rnacentral:miRNA from 1 species
AGAGAAAGUUAUAGCUGUAAUA